rnacentral:lncRNA from 1 species
GCUGAACUCCGGCCACUUGAGCUGCUCUUACACUGUAUACCUGUGUCUGAGUACUCAGUUCAUCCACCAGUCAGGGUCUGUGGGACAGACUAGGCAGGUGGUGCCCCGUGUGAGGAGCAGCGCAGUGGAUCAUGAUGGAACCCUCGAAAAUGAACGUGAAGUGACUGCGCAUGCAAUGCAUCAAACCAUACCAUGGCAUGGCUGGGACCCAAUGCAGUACUGGAAAUGAAGAAUGUGAGCCUGUAGGACCCGCAGCCCCGGACAAUGCAGCUUCCUCGGACAACACAGGUCCCGGAUGGGGAAUGUGAAAUAGACAACUGGGGGAUGCUAAAUAAGACAACUCAGGAGGCUAAGUGAAUCACAGACACCAUUCACUCCAGAUAAUCUGUUCCUUGCUAUGCUGUCUGUUGUACAUUGCAACUCUUGUAAGGAUGCAAAGCUGGAACACAAGCUGUAACCGCUGCACCUGUCAAACCUGUCGCUGCACACAUCUGUACGCUUCAAUCAACUAAACCUGAUGCAAAAAACAGAAAAGGGAGAGAUGUAGGGGAUCACUCAGAGUGGUGGGAAAAACUAUAGGGAAAGGACACAAACCUUCUGAAAGGUUGGAAGGGUCUGCAGAGCCCCUGGGGAGAAUAGCUGGAAGCAGCUGUUCUAUAACCCUGAGACAGAGGGCAAGGAGUAGAUACAAGGGAGUGUGGGGGGAAUUGAUCUUAAACAAUCUUGUUAUGUUGACCAGGAACUGACCUUUGAUCAUCCCUGCAUGUGAAGUUCCCUGAAAGGGGAACAAUAAAUGUUAAUUACCUUCAGGUUGUGUUGGCUCCAGGUUUUCAGCAUUGCACCUGCCCUGAAUAAAAGCAAGCAGCUCCAGCUUCCCAGGGCUGCGCUCUGGCCACUUGCACCAGGCAGUCCUCUGGCUGCUCUUACAUUGCAUACCUAUGUCUGAGUACUCAUUUCAUCUGUCAGCCGGGGUCUGCAGGACAGACCUGGCACAUUGUAGCCCUAGCACCCCAUGAAUCGAAGGGAUUGCACUUUUCCAGAAACCAAGAACUGAUUGGAUGGGGGCUGAUCAAAGUGGUAUUAGAACCUUACUCCCUGCCUCUUAAAUAAUGCUCUACCCCUCCUAGCCCCUAACUCCUUGGUCCUGGCCUUUAAUAACAUGUGAGAAACUGAAGAAGGUCCCCAAAAAGUAAUGCGAAGGACACAGAGGUCAGAAGGGGACAGAAGAAGAAAGGGGAGGCUGAGGGGAGGCCAGAAGCCCCGUGACAGAUGUGGAGCAAGACAUUGACCUGUUGAUCCCACCGCCUCAGAGGCCAGCAGGAAGAAAUGAGCCGCACUGAGGAAAGUCCACACAGAAAGUGGUUCCCAAGGGAAGGUGAGGGAUUCCAUCUGGGGGAACAGAAAUUAGAAUCAGCAACCAAACAUGAGUCCAGGUUCUGGGCUCAGACCCUCGUGGACUGCUAUUGAGGCACAAAUGACAAAUCUAAACUGCUAUGGAAUGGCAUGAAUGUGGCGAUUUGAAGUGUUCUGAAAUCUAGGAAAGGGAAGUGGGCAAGCCCCAUGGCAGGGCACUCAGAAUCUCCAGGAGGCUCUUCUCAGAGAACAAACACCCCACAUGAAAACCUAUUUGAGAAUUACCCACCUA